rnacentral:rRNA from 1 species
UAAUGCGAUAAUACGCAUGACGGUUCAUUUUUGCCGUGUGUGGUCACGGUAAAACUUAAGAAUCGUCCA